UCCGCUUCUUCAACACGGCACGACGCUUGCCAUUUCAUAAUUGCAGCCAAAGAAGUAGGACGUGUCGGAGCUUUGUUAAAGUGAAAAUAGCCUAAAAAUAAAUAUGUGCAUAUGUAUAAAGGUUAAAUUAAAAUUAUCAAAAAUAUUUUACCCGUACUACGUUUUCGUAGAAUACAACAAAUAAGCGCGCGCCGUUACACGCAUACAUAUACAUACAUACAUAUGCACGUAAUGGACAAACAGAAAUCGAACUAAAGUGAAGUUUGUAUUAAUUAUUAAGUGGAUUAAUAUUUUCGGUUCUCAGAAACGUACAUAUGUACAGCUACACACACAUACAUAUACCAUAGCGUGCGUUUACCGUUGCUUGGUCGCCAACAAAGUUGAGCGUGCCCUAGCGUACACACACAUGUACAUUUGCUGCAACACAUCUACACACACAUAGCGUGCGUUUACCGUUCGUGGCAAAGUCAUAGAACGAAGCGUAUAAAACUGUAUUACAUCUUGGAGGUUCCUGUUGAGAUCCAAACAAAAAGUGGAAACUGCUAGAUUUUGACGAAACUUGGCUGACAUAACGGAAUUAAUGAGGGAGAUUUCAGACUGGAAUCUCGUUAUUGAAAAAUUAAAUAAAACGACGGAGCUGAGUUUUUGAAAGUAUGCCGGGCGCCGGAAUUGAUUUAAAUCUUUUACCAAAGCAGAGACUAUUGAUAACUUACAAAACUAAUUAUUGUUUAGCUAUUAAGAUUGGUAAUACUCUACUAUUGUAUCUAUUGGUAAUAUACAGAUCUCUGUAAAAUAAUUAUAAGUGUAACUGUAUUAUUUGUACCCUCCAGCAAGCCGUU